AAUGUCAUGAUGUGAGAAGUGAUCUAUCAUAUCAAGCAAGGAUCUUCUCUUAUCUCAAUUUCGGAAACUGGAUCACUGCUCUGUGUGACGGGUUAGCACCCGUUAGCAAUUAACUUACGCAACCAACUCCUGUCAUUGCAACCUUGUGUAACCCUCAAUGUUCUUCCACUCUGUGCUCUGCACUUGUGUAGUUUCUAAUGAUUCUUCUGUGUAGCUCUUAAUGUUCUUCUGCUCUGUGCUCUGCACUUGCAUAGUCUCUAACAAUUCUUCUGUGUAGCUCUCAAUGAUUCUCUCAUCUCACACUUCACACUUGUAUAGUUUCUAACAAUUCUUCUGUGUAGCUUUUAAUGUUCUUUCAC
rnacentral:sRNA from 1 species